AUGCGCCGCUACCAUGCAAGUCGAACGGAGUCAAGAGGAGCUUGCUUUUCUUGACUUAGUGGCGAACGGGUGAGUAACGCGUGAGUAACCUGCCCUGGGGUGGGGGACAACAGUUGGAAACGACUGCUAAUACCGCAUAAGCCCACGGAUCCGCAUGGAUCUGCGGGAAAAGGAUUUAUUCGCUUCAGGAUGGACUCGCGUCCAAUUAGCUAGUUGGUGAGGUAACGGCCCACCAAGGCGACGAUUGGUAGCCGGACUGAGAGGUUGAACGGCCACAUUGGGACUGAGACACGGCCCAGACUCCUACGGGAGGCAGCAGUGGGGGAUAUUGCACAAUGGGGGAAACCCUGAUGCAGCGACGCCGCGUGGAGGAAGAAGGUUUUCGGAUUGUAAACUCCUGUCGUUAGGGACGAUAAUGACGGUACCUAACAAGAAAGCACCGGCUAACUACGUGCCAGCAGCCGCGGUAAAACGUAGGGUGCAAGCGUUGUCCGGAAUUACUGGGUGUAAAGGGAGCGCAGGCGGACCGGCAAGUUGGAAGUGAAAACUAUGGGCUCAACCCAUAAAUUGCUUUCAAAACUGCUGGCCUUGAGUAGUGCAGAGGUAGGUGGAAUUCCCGGUGUAGCGGUGGAAUGCGUAGAUAUCGGGAGGAACACCAGUGGCGAAGGCGACUUACUGGGCACCAACUGACGCUGAGGCUCGAAAGCAUGGGUAGCAAACAGGAUUAGAUACCCUGGUAGUCCAUGCCGUAAACGAUGAUUACUAGGUGUUGGAGGAUUGACCCCUUCAGUGCCGCAGUUAACACAAUAAAGUAAUCCACCUGGGGAGUACGACCGCAAAGGUUGAAACUCAAAGGAAUUGACGGGGGGCCCCGCACAAGCAGUGGGAGUAUGUGGUUUAAUUCGAAGCAACCCGAAGAACCUUACCAGGUCUUUGACUUCCGAUGCAUAGCUUAAAGAUUAAUUGAAGUCCCUUCGGGACAUC
rnacentral:rRNA from 1 species